rnacentral:rRNA from 1 species
AUUGAACGCUGGCGACAUGCCUUACACAUGCAAGUCGAACGGUAACGCGGGGCAACCUGGCGACGAGUGGCGAACGGGUGAGUAAUGUAUCGGAACGUGCCCAGUAGUGGGGGAUAGCCCGGCGAAAGCCGGAUUAAUACCGCAUGAGACCUGAGGGUGAAAGCAGGGGAUCGCAAGACCUCGCGCUAUUGGAGCGGCCGAUAUCAGAUUAGGUAGUUGGUGGGGUAAAGGCCUACCAAGCCGACGAUCUGUAGCUGGUCUGAGAGGACGACCAGCCACACUGGGACUGAGACACGGCCCAGACUCCUACGGGAGGCAGCAGUGGGGAAUUUUGGACAAUGGGCGCAAGCCUGAUCCAGCCAUGCCGCGUGCGGGAAGAAGGCCUUCGGGUUGUAAACCGCUUUUGUCAGGGAAGAAAUCCUUUGGGUUAAUACCCCGGGGGGAUGACGGUACCUGAAGAAUAAGCACCGGCUAACUACGUGCCAGCCGCCGCCGUAAAAC